rnacentral:rRNA from 1 species
UCUUCCACAAUGGACGAAAGUCUGAUGGAGCAACGCCGCGUGAGUGAAGAAGGGUUUCGGCUNGUAAAACUCUGUUGUUAAAGAANNCCNNNUNUGAGAGUAACUGUUCAGGUAUUGACGGUAUUUAACCNNNANGNCACGGCUAACUACGUGCCAGCAGCCGCGGUAAUACGUAGGUGGCAAGCGUUGUCCGGAUUUAUUGGGCGUAAAGCGAGCGCAGGCGGUUUUUUAAGUCUGAUGUGAAAGCCUUCGGCUCAACCGAAGAAGUGCAUCGGAAACUGGGAAACUUGAGUGCAGAAGAGGACAGUGGAACUCCAUGUGUAGCGGUGAAAUGCGUAGAUAUAUGGAAGAACACCAGUGGCGAAGGCGGCUGUCUGGUCUGUAACUGACGCUGAGGCUCGAAAGUAUGGGUAGCAAACAG